GACAGAGGGGGCAAGCGUUGCUCGGAAUCACUGGGCGUAAAGGGCGCGUAGGCGGGAUGGCAAGUCAGUCGUGAAAUCUCUCGGCUCAACCGAGAAACGUCGGCUGAUACUGCCGUUCUUGAGGGAUGCAGAGGAGACUGGAAUUCCCGGUGUAGCGGUGAAAUGUGUAGAGAUCAGGAGGAACACCAGUGGCGAAGGCGGCUACCUGGCCCACUCUUGACGCUGAGGCGCGAAAGCGUGGGGAGCGAACAGG
rnacentral:rRNA from 1 species